rnacentral:rRNA from 1 species
GAUCCUGGCUCAGGAUGAACGCUAGCUACAGGCUUAACACAUGCAAGUCGAGGGGCAGCAUUGGAGUAGCAAUACUCAGAUGGCGACCGGCGCACGGGUGAGUAACACGUAUCCAACCUGCCGCUUACUCGGGGAUAGCCUUUCGAAAGAAAGAUUAAUACCCGAUGGUAUAAAGAGUUCGCAUGUUCUCUUUAUUAAAGAAUUUCGGUAAGCGAUGGGGAUGCGUUCCAUUAGAUAGUUGGCGGGGUAACGGCCCACCAAGUCUACGAUGGAUAGGGGUUCUGAGAGGAAGGUCCCCCACAUUGGAACUGAGACACGGUCCAAACUCCUACGGGAGGCAGCAGUGAGGAAUAUUGGUCAAUGGACGAGAGUCUGAACCAGCCCAAGUAGCGUGAAGGAUGACUGCCCUAUGGGUUGUAAACUUCUUUUAUAAGGGAAUAAAGUGAGGGACGUGUCCCUUUUUGUAUGUACCUUAUGAAUAAGGAUCGGCUAACUCCGUGCCAGCCGCCGC